UUGUAUUCAAUAAGGUUCAUGCACAUCCUCACCACAUGAAGGGUUCUUUUAUGUACAUACAUUUGCCUUGAUGAACGCUCAGGAGAUAUCUUUCAAAGCUUAAGAAAUUCAGGUUUCAUGUUGAGGGUGUUGAUGUGCGGUUGCCUCUUUUCUUUUUCACUUAAACCUUGAGGAACUUGGCCUUGUAAUGUUCGAAAAUGGGAAGCCCAUACGACAUGAGGAGGCUAUUGGUAGGUAAUCAAUUGUCGUCGUUGUCAGAGCAUCAAUCAUAAGUCAAAAUUUCACUGCAGCAAGAAUUUUAUCAUCCAACUCCUUCUGAUCCUCCACAAACAUGAAAGUUGGCUUUUUUAACUUGGCAAAUAGAAGGGGUUCCAAUUUGUUCUUAGUCAAGACUGUGAGCAUCCGAACGUUCCAUGUAAUUAGUGAAACUGGUAUUACUUUUAUCUUCUUGAUAUUCUAGUUUGUGGUGGUAGUCGUCACCUGAGGUUAUGAUCGACAAUAUUUCUGUUAGGGAUCAAAAUUAACAUGUAGCCUCAUUCACUU